CUUAAAUUGAAGAGUUUGAUCAUGGCUCAGAUUGAACGCUGGCGGCAGGCCUAACACAUGCAAGUCGAGCGGUAGCA
rnacentral:rRNA from 1 species